rnacentral:rRNA from 1 species
GACAGAGGGUGCAAACGUUGUUCGGAAUUACUGGGCGUAAAGCGCGUGUAGGCGGCUAUGUAAGUCGGGCGUGAAAUCCCACGGCUCAACCGUGGAAGUGCACCCGAAACUGCGUAGCUAGAGUCCUGGAGAGGAAGGUGGAAUGCUUGGUGUAGAGGUGAAAUUCGUAGAUAUCAAGCGGAGCACCGGUGGCGAAGGCGGCCUUCUGGACAGUGACUGACGCUGAGACGCGAAAGCGUGGGGAGCAAACAGG